AAUUUUGCUGAUGAUAGAUUGUGAUCUUUCCAGGGCAUAGUGGAAGAGCAUGUGGAUAUUUAAAGAGAAGUUGGGAAAUGUAUUAGAGGAGGGGCUUUAUGGAAAUGUAUUAUAGGGAUCACAGUUCAGAGGAGCCUACAGUCAUAGGUUUCUUGUGGUUUCUGAAGCAACAAGGACCUAAGAAACUAGUCUUAAAAGUAUCUUAGAAGGUAAUAAUCAGAUCUAAUUAGAUGCUCCUGAGUCAGUUGUUCUCAGCCUUGGCUGCACAUUAGAUUCACCUGGGGGAACUUAAAAACUCUCCAGUGCCCAAGCUUGGCCCCAGACCAAUUAAAUAAAAAUCUCUGGGGGUGGGACCCAGACAUCAGCAUUUUUUAAUGUUCCCCUGGUGAUUCCUACAUGCAGUCAAGGCUGAAAGCCAGUUUUCUAAUUGGUGAAGCCAGAAACAGCAGCAAGAAAUUUUUACCCUGGAGCCUGGGCUCCGCAUGCUCAGAUAGACCACCUCUAGUACUGUCUGCCAUAAGGUAGGGAUCAGAUUUGCCCUCCUCCUGCGUCUGAUCAUCUAAGGAGCUAAGGUUUAUGAGAGACACAAACCAAAUGACUCAAAACACUCCAAUAGAUAUGUUUGCAUAUAUUAGACAAUAAAAGUAAAAAAGAAAGUUUCCUCCCCAAGAGCUGAAUGAUCACAGUUUGAUGCUCUGUUCUGCAGGACAGCAGGUCAUCACUGAAAUGGCAAUUGAUUAUAUAUACAUUGCUCUCAGCACUCCUUAGGAAAUGUUUUAGAAGAAUGUCAGGUGAAAGGUUCACAGCGCAACAUUUCAUGGUUAAUUAGCAGUUAGAAUCACUUCAAGAAAUCGAAUGGGGAGGAGCAGAUGGACUUACAGCUCACCUUGGGGCAGUAAUUUGUACAUCCCAGCCAUUAGUCUCGGUUGCUAACAACAUCAUCUAGAGGUGGAUCUUUUGACAAUUUGAUGCCAAGUGUCAUUACCUCUCUCUGGCCUAUGGAUUGCUGAAUGCUCUAGUGCAGAGAUGACUAGAAGAAAUCCAGGAAGGUGGUGGCAGUUUUGAAGACAUCAAAAUAUUUUCCUGCAAAAAAACAUAAGAUUUCUGG